GCGCCCCGACACGCAAUCACACGCACACUUCUUGUUCAAAAGACGACGGAGUUUCCGUCGCUUCGCGCUCGGGUAUUUUCAAAUUGAUUCGUAAUUCCCGCUACCGCAUCUGAGAUCAGUUUCGGGAACUCUUCGUUAUCAAUUUCCUCGUCGAUCCUCGACGAUACUCCACGUUUUCCGUCGAUACUAACAUAACCGAAUUCACAACACACUAACCAACUACGUCUUUCGAGAACAAGCAUUAUGAUCUCGUCCAAGGGCUUCACGCCAACGCCCUAAGUCCUGAAUGUGAAAGGGGGUUUAUUGCACUCCGCGCAAUAAAGAACAAGACGGGGAAAGCCCGCAUAUCAUUCAAUGAAUAUAAAUUUGUCGAUUUACCAGAUAAAUCGUGGGUCACCGUAAUCUAGUCCACAGAUAUUCUAUCGUGGGAAUUGAUUUGAGUCUUUUACGUCUGCAAGAAAUAGGCGACGUGGUGUUUGAAGUGUCGGAAGAAGUGUUGGGGUGAGCAUUAGUAGACUUUUUAGAAAAAUCUUUCGUCAAACGUAUUAUUUAUUUAAACUUUAAAACCUGACAUAAAUUAAUUGUAAUAUAUUUGCGCAGUACUUGUUAAAUUUGAUAUUAUCAUUUUGAUAAGAUAUUGACAGGUCCGUCAAUUACUAUCAAACAACUGUAUGUACAUCAGAAUUGCUAAGUAAUAUAAUAUUAAUAAUUACAUAUAAUUGGAAAUCUUCGCGUUAAACGAAAAGCUUCUUUCUGUAAAAAGAUUAUGCAUUAAAAUUAUAAUGGGCACAAGCGCA